GCGCAAGUGGUUUAGUGGUAAAAUCCAACGUUGCCAUCGUUGGGCCCCCGUUCGAUUCCGGCUUGCAUC
rnacentral:tRNA from 1 species